CGUCCAUCCAAGGGGAGUUCCGGCAGGGAACUGAGAGGCCAUCGGCCGCCGAAAGGCGUGAGCGCGUGGCGACCCUUCGAACCUGAUCCGGUUGAGACCGGCGGAGGGAUGGAAUGCGGUGGCCCC
rnacentral:ncRNA from 2 species